rnacentral:rRNA from 1 species
UACGAAGGGGGCUAGCGUUGCUCGGAAUGACUGGGCGUAAAGGGCGCGUAGGCGGUUUGUACAGUCAGAUGUGAAAUUCCCGGGCUCAACCUGGGGGCUGCAUUUGAUACGUGCGGACUUGAGUACGAAAGAGGAUCGCGGAAUUCCCGGUGUAGAGGUGAAAUUCGUAGAUAUCGGGAGGAACACCGGUGGCGAAGGCGGCGAUCUGGGUCGAUACUGACGCUGAGGUGCGAAAGCGUGGGGAGCAAACAGG